rnacentral:rRNA from 1 species
AAGCAGAGAUUUAAACUCGUACCUUUUGCAUCAUGAUUUAGCUAGAAAAUCUCAAGCAAAGAGCACUUUAGUUUGACCCCCCGAAACUACGUGAGCUACUCCAAGACAGCCUAAUAUAGGGCAAACCCGUCUCUGUGGCAAAAGAGUGGGAAGAGCUUUGAGUAGAGGUGACAGACCUACCGAACCUAGUUAUAGCUGGUUGCCUGAGAAAUGAAUAGAAGUUCAGCCUCUCGGAUUCUUCCCUCACCCCUGUCUUCCUCUCCCCGACAGCCAAAAGAAACCGAAAGAGUUAGUCAAAGGGGGUACAGCCCCUUUGACACAAGAUACAACUUUACCAGGAGGGUAAAGAUCACAUUUAAACACCAAGGUAAAAUGUUUUGGUGGGCCUAAAAGCAGCCAUCCCCAUAGAAUGCGUUAAAGCUCAGACAUAUUCACCACCCCCGAUCCUGACAAUUUUAUCUUAUCCCCCUAACCCUACCGGGCCAUCCCAUGCAAACAUGGGAGUGACCAUGCUAAUAUGAGUAAUAAGAGAGUAUUAGCCUCUCUCCUUGCACAAGUGUAACUCGGAACGGACCCCCCGCCGAACCUUAACGACCCCAAACAAAGAGGGCCCUGAAUAACAGACCCGUCAACUAGAAAAACACUCAACAAACUAAUCGUUAAACCCACACUGGUGUGCCUUUAAGGAAAGACUAAAAGAAAGAGAAGGAACUCGGCAAACACAUAAAGCCUCGCCUGUUUACCAAAAACAUCGCCUCUUGCAAAAUUAACGAAUAAGAGGUCCUGCCUGCCCUGUGACCAUGAGUUCAACGGCCGCGGUAUUUUGACCGUGCAAAGGUAGCGCAAUCACUUGUCUUUUAAAUGAAGACCCGUAUGAAUGGCAAGACGAGGGCUUAGCUGUCUCCUUUUUCAAGUCAAUGAAAUUGAUCUUCCCGUGCAGAAGCGGGAAUUCCGACAUAAGACGAGAAGACCCUAUGGAGCUUUAGACACCAAGACAGACCACGUCAAAACUCCCUAAUAAAGGACCGAACUAAAUGGACCCUGUCCUAAUGUCUUUGGUUGGGGCGACCACGGGGAAAUACAAAACCCCCGCGUGGAAUGGGAGUACCCUUGCUCCUACAACUGAGAGCUUCCGCUCUAAUAAACAGAAUUUCUGACCAACAAGAUCCGGCAACGCCGAUCAACGAACCGAGUUACCCUAGGGAUAACAGCGCAAUCCUCUUUUAGAGCCCAUAUCGACAAGGGGGUUUACGACCUCGAUGUUGGAUCAGGACAUCCUAAUGGUGCAGCCGCUAUUAAGGGUUC